GGGGCGGUAGCUCAGCCGGUCAGAGCAGGAGACUCAUAAUCUCUGGGUCGCGGGUUCGAGUCCCGCCCGCCCUACCC
rnacentral:tRNA from 2 species